CCCUGAGGUGGUAACACGUCGAAAUGCAGUUCGAAGACGCACCCCAGGAGGUGCCGGGGCUU
rnacentral:tRNA from 1 species